GGGUCUUAUGUAUUAAGCCUGGCAACCUGAUUUUUGAAUAGAUGCUGUCCUGGAUUUACAAGUCCCAGUCAUCCUUUUUCCUCAUGCGUACAUGCAGGAAACACUGCUUUGGAGAAAGAGAGUUAAAAGAUGCAGGAUGCCAUGCAGUUUCUUGUCUACAUAUUGGAAACCAUCAUGAUCAUAUGCAAGUUCUUCACUGAUGCGUUCACACUCUGGUUCACAUGUUUUGCUUUUCCUGUGAGAAACUCAGAAGAAAUUUCUUUGUGUAGGUUCCCAGAGUGUAGGAAAUUACUAGUG
rnacentral:lncRNA from 1 species